CGGGGGAUCCUUGAGUUUUUUUAAGGACCUCGCGCUAAAAGAUGAGCCUGCGUCGGAUUAGUUAGUUGGUGGGGUAAUAGCCCACCAAGACGAUGAUCCGUAGCUGGUCUGAGAGGAUGAUCAGCCACACUGGGACUGAGACACGGCCCAGACUCCUAUGGGAGGCAGCAGUGGGGAAUAUUGGACAAUGGGGGAAACCCUGAUCCAGCAAUGCCGCGUGUGUGAAGAAGGCCUUCGGGUUGUAAAGCACUUUCAGCAGGAAAGAAAGUCUUAAAGUCAAUACCUUUAAUGACUUGACGUCACCUGCAGAAGAAGCACUGGCUAACUCUGUGCCAUCAGCCGCGGUAAUACAGAGAGUGACACCGUUACUCGGAAUUACUGGGCGUAACCCGCGCGUACGUGGAUAUUACCGUCGGGUGUGAAAGCCC
rnacentral:rRNA from 1 species